GAAACAAGUCAUUUAAGAAAUAUUCAUUAGAAACAUUUGAAGAUUAACUUCAGAGACACUGUCGGCAUCCACAUAGUCAUCUAGAAGUCUGGAGUUGACAAGAGGUUUGCCUUUGUACAUCAAACGGAUAGAGGAAGGUUGCGUAGAUAACUGAGAUGCUAAAACUUCUUUAAGCUCCAAAAUUGUAGACUGUACAUUUAUUUCAGUAGAUGCUUGUUGAAUGGGAGGUCGGACAGUUUUCGCAACAACAUGAACUAGAUUUUUAGUUAAAAGUAGUUAUUUAAGCAGAAUUUACCUUUCUUUUCCUCGAACAAAGCUAAAUUUCCUUGAAACUCGACCAGUGGAGCAGGAAUAGUGAUCUAUAAAACUAUUAGUUUCAAUAGCAUAUUUGUGAAACAAGAAUCAUUAUUACGCACCGAAAUAGCAGUUUCAUCUAUUUUUUCAAUUGGAAUACUAUCAGGGUGAUUCCUAGGGGUCUUUGAAAGCUCUUCUAGAAACGAUUUAACAAUUUGUACCUCGCUCAUGGUGAUGGUGGAAUGUCAAGUUUACUCAAGCUAAUUAUCAAGUGUCCUAAAACCACUAAAGAGAAAAUCUCGAAACAAAUAUCAUACAAAAUGCCAUUAGUUCCAACUUUGACAAACAACACAUCAAAUCUGACGUUCAGUUUUUGAUAAUUAUGUUACAAUGCUGCUAACCGACAAAUUUAAGAGUCCAAAUCCUUGAUGUAAUAGCGCUCAAGUUCAACAUAAAGUAUUCUAUAACUUCGUCUAUUUCAUGCCUUAAGCUUUACAACCUCGCGAACGUAGUUUACUCAGAAUUGUCAAAAAGAAUAAUAAUUAUGAUUUUAAAAAUUUACUGUUAAAUAAAUUAUUAAAGUCAUAAGAAAUCUUUGCAUUGUUAAUAAAGUUGCUGUUGCAAAUACUAUC